rnacentral:misc_RNA from 1 species
AAUAAAAGCGGCUUAUUCGACGUUGUGGGCGGAGAAUUGAAUGAAACAUUUCUUUUAGGUAAAUUGUAAAUUCAAAUUGAAAUUUGGGUUGUUCAACAGGCGUCACCCAAAUGCAAAAUGAUGGAGCAAUCCAUUUCCAAUCCUUCAAUCUCUAUCCUCAAAUCGUUCCAUUUCUCUUCUUGUCAUUCCCAUUCCUACUUCUAUAAUUACAAUUGUAUUUCUCCUUUACAAAUUCUAUACCAAUUUGUGGAUUCAUCCAAUGCUGCGAUUCAGGCUCACAAUGAUUCCUCGGCUGCCAA